GCCGAUGCUACUUUCCGGUUUUGACUGUUCUUCAGAAGUCUUUGUUUCAGCUGAUCGAACACCGUGUACUGAAUAGCAGGAUUUGCCGUCAAUAGAAGAGAGAUACCCAAUCCAUCAAAUAACUCACUCCAUGAACUCUCUGAAAGAGUUUCCCAUAAUCCCCUGGAUUUUCCGAAAGCACUUGUUUGCAUCCUGGAAGAUGCUGUAUCCAGUGGAUGUGUCACAACAACAGUGCAAGCACCAGCAGCAGCAG
rnacentral:misc_RNA from 1 species